rnacentral:rRNA from 1 species
GACGAACGCUGGCGGCGUGCUUAACACAUGCAAGUCGAACGAUGAAGCCGGAGCUUGCUCUGGUGAAUUAGUGGCGAACGGGUGAGUAACACGUGAGUACCUGCCCCUGAACCUGGGGUAACUGCGGGAAACUGUAGCUAAAAACGGAUACCACCAUCGGGGGCAUCCCCUGGGGGUGGAAAGAAUUUCGGGCAAGGAUGGACUCGCGGCCUAUCAGCUAGUUUGGGGGGUAAAGGCCCACCAAGGCGACGACGGGUAACCGGCCUGAGAGGGUGACCGGCCACACUGGGACUGAGACACGGCCCAGACUCCUACGGGAGGCAGCAGUGGGGAAUAUUGCACAAUGGGCGCAAGCCUGAUGCAGCAACGCCGCGUGAGGGAUGACGGCCUUCGGGUUGUAAACCUCUUUUAGCAGGGAAGAAGCGAAAGUGACGGUACCUGCAGAAAAAGCACCGGCUAACUACGUGCCAGCAGCCGCCGCAG